rnacentral:tRNA from 1 species
AAAUAAAUAGCGUGGUCGUUAUGCGAUUGAGCUGUUAGCUGAAAAGCUAAAAACAUAAGUGCGAAUAUUAUUUUAUUUU